AGUGAACGCUGGCGGUAGGCCUAACACAUGCAAGUCGAACGGCAGCACAGUAAGAGCUUGCUCUUACGGGUGGCGAGUGGCGGACGGGUGAGGAAUACAUCGGAAUCUACUUUUUCGUGGGGGAUAACGUAGGGAAACUUACGCUAAUACCGCAUACGACCUACGGGUGAAAGCAGGGGAUCUUCGGACCUUGCGCGAUUGAAUGAGCCGAUGUCGGAUUAGCUAGUUGGCGGGGUAAAGGCCCACCAAGGCGACGAUCCGUAGCUGGUCUGAGAGGAUGAUCAGCCACACUGGAACUGAGACACGGUCCAGACUCCUACGGGAGGCAGCAGUGGGGAAUAUUGGACAAUGGGCGCAAGCCUGAUCCAGCCAUACCGCGUGGGUGAAGAAGGCCUUCGGGUUGUAAAGCCCUUUUGUUGGGAGAGAAAAGCAGCAGGUUAAUACCCCGCUGCUCUGACGGUACCCAAAGAAUAAGCACCGGCUAACUUCGUG
rnacentral:rRNA from 1 species